GAACCGUGUUCCUGCACUCAUCCUGAGAACUGGAGAUCAUGUUGUCAGUAACUCUGCUUGUCAUGUUGGGCUUUCUGUGUCAGGAGUCUUCUGCCAACAAGUUCCUGACUCAGACUGACUCAUCCAAGUCUGUUAGUGCUGGAGGGACUGUGACCAUCAGCGCUACAGGGAGCUCUAAUAUUGGUGGUCUUCUCAGUUGGUAUCUUCAGAAACCUGGACAGGCUCCUAAACCUCUUAUAUACUCAUCAUCAUCUCUGUUCUCUGGAACUGAGCCUAGAUUCAGUGGUACUAGAUCUGGUGCUCAGUACACUUUAACCAUCAGUAACGUUAAGGAAGUUGAUGCAGGAGAUUACUAUUGUCUUGGCUACCAUGGUGGUGGCGUGUUCACACAGUGAUUUAGAGCCGUACAAAAACCUCCUUCAGUCUGAAGUAAAGCGUCCUGCUGCAGCUGCAGAGGUGAAGAGACUGAGAGGAGGAGAACUGGUCCAGUGAACACAAGAGUCAUCAAGCAGAACCACCAUGAAUCCAAAUAAAGCUGAAACACACUCACAGACACUCUUCAACACCCUGUUUAAACUAUAUUAAUGUCAUUAAAUUCAGUCUCUUUAUGAGUGAGCUGGG